CAGCGUAUACCAACUCUCUCUUCUCGGUCUCUCCAAAACCCUAGCCACCGCCCCUUCUCCGAACCUAACUCCGACCACCACCUCCUCCAAUAGAAAAAUAAAUUUGAUAUUCAUACGCAUCAUCUCACGGCCUUUCUAAAGAACUAAAUCAAUUGUGAUUUCAUGCUAUCAUCGUUGUAUCUCAAUCUCCUCCUUUUUCGGCCACUACGACCUCAAAUGACAAAACAGUUAUUAUUUUCGCAAUCCACAUACCUUGACCUCUCUAAUGAACCAAGUAGAUCGUUGUAUUGAGCAUCGUCGUCGACCACCACUCCUCUAUCUUCGGCCGCCGCGACGGGUAACAGAGAAAGGAAGUAAAUCGUCUUUUCGAACUACUUCUCAGUGACCUCCAACUUCCCUCUUCAUGGUGUAGCUGUGUUUGGAAUCGGAAAAAUGGGUUUGUUUUUUGGGAUAUUUCCGAGGAUAAUAUUCUAUUCUAUGUAGCAUCGAUGGCUGGAUUGAAACCAAUGGCGAGGUACACAAGCAAUAAGUAAAUUGAGAAGGUAUGGCACAUUGUCCUAAAUCUUGAGUUUCCUUGGUCAAUUUUAUGGUUUCUAUACUCUCUUAUGUUUUUUAUAAUUACAGGCUGACAUUUUUAGAGGUGAACUUAGUAAUUCUCCUGUCAUGGAUCCCAAACCUGGCACCAAUCAAUCUCUCAUAUACAAGCCAAUGGAAAAAUUUGUGUCAUAGACAACUGCCCCUAUCUUGGCCAACGUGGUUUGUAUCUACAGAUUCUACAUAAAUUUGUGUCAUAGAUAUUUGUCAUGGUUAUAAGUUAUAGGCCAUUAAACUUCUAUAACUUUGCAUAUCUGACUGCCUUAAAACUGUUCCAAGCCUUAAAAGAAAUUCAUAAUUGUUCAUUUUUUCUCUUCUGAAUUUGUUGUGGCUGCUACAACUUGAUCUACUUAGUCUAAUGUAGAGAUGUCAUUGGUAACAUUGUUUAAAUUAUUUCCUUUACUUGUUAUUCAUUAUGGUGAUGACUUGUUAACAACUUCAAAUUACUUACUAUAUUUGUCUCUUUUUUGUGCUUGUUUACUAAAUUCAAAUGCCAAUUAGUAAGGAAGUUUUUCAUUUCAAUGCCGAUUUUGUAUUAGGUGUGCAUGGUAUUACCAAAAAUAGUACAUGCCAUAAAUAGUAUUAUUGAUUGAGUCGAUAAAAUUUAAGUCUUUAGUUCUUGUUAACCGUGAAGGGUUCAAACUGUUUUCACAAGCUAUCUUAGGUAGCUUAUGAAAAUACACUGAAACCAACUUUUGAAUUGUUAUAGUUUGUUUUCGUAAGAUUUCCAACAGAGUAUCACAAAUGUGAUAAGGUCAAAUAAGUCCAUUCUAAAAGGCAUUUAUAUGAGGAUACUGCUUAUAUAUGCUAUAAGAUGAAACUGACUUACCUAUUUGUAAAUUGUAAUCUCAGUUAAUACUCUGUUAUUUCAGGAGAUAGCAUUCUUUAAAGUUUAUUAGUCAAUGGUUGGCUUUCAAAAUUGGCUUUCCUUUUUCAGCCAUGUUGAAAAACCUAUAGCUAUUUGGGCUUUUAACACAAGUAAGUAAAAUCACAGGUUCUUUCAUGUUAAUGAUGUGAGCAUGAUUGUCAUGCAUCUGUUUUGCUUGGUUAUUUCAGUGUUAUACUCAUCAAAAGAAGAACUCCAAAAUUCUUCUGAUGACUAUUGGUGCUCAAUUCUCUCUUCUAGAAAAGAGGUUGAUCAACUUUCUGUCAAAAUUGAUUGGUUUUUGUGGCAGCAAAAAGAAAUUUUAUAUUUAAAAAAAAUUAAAAUUUAUAUCAGUUCUAGUGACACUUACAAAGUCGUAGGUAUAAGUUUUACUAAUUAUAUUAAUAGGAUAACAUAUAGUGACAGUCGUAUAACUGUAGGUAAAAUAUUGUCUGUAGCUAAAAGUUACAAUGACAUUCAAUUAAGCGUCACACCACACCCCUUAAAGACGUCAAAGGAGGGUGUCACUAAAAGUUUUGUAGACAUUUACCUACAGUUUAUUGGCUUUUAGUGACAACUUUUGAGUGUCACGGAAAGUCAAUUUUCUUGUAGUGAAAUAAAAAACACUUAAAUUUACUAUAAAAUAUACUAAAAAUAUGCAAUGAUAAAUUGUCAUUCCCGGUCCACAUUAUUGUGUUUUAAUGAAAAGAUGGACAAUUAAAUGAACUAUUAUGUCAAAAAUAUAGGGAGGAAAAUAAACCUUCCUCUCACAUAAGGUAACAACAGUUUCAUUAUGCUAGCAACUUUUCAAUGUCAAUAACUUUUUUACAAGUAGCUUUGAAGAAGAAACAUAGCUUAGUUAUUGAUACAUUGACAAAGCCACUUGAAACGGCUACAUUUCAAGAACUCAAGAGCAAGCUCAAGGUUCUUUCUUGCAAACCCCUUAUCUUUUGGGGAGUGUUACAAGUCAUAUUAUAUACUAAAAUAUACAAAGUCAAAAUGUUUAACAACAUUGAAAACUAAAAAUGCUGAAGCUGUUACAGAUUUUUUAGAGCUUAUACCCGUUAGUUUAUCACUUAAGCUUCACUUGUAUAAAUGUAACAUUUUUGUAAGUGUAAUAACAAGAAAUUCAUUAAUGAAAAUACCUCACCAUUAGAGAUGGUGAGUUCCCUUUCAAUUUCUCUUCCAAUAGAAGAACAUCAAAGAAUUACACACUUAAAAAGAUGAUUCGUUUAAAACAUCAAGCCAGAAAUCAUCAACAAAACAUGAAGCCAGAAAAUCAAUAAAAGAACCUAAUUAUGUGAUGUGAUUACUUUGAAAUGAGGCUGAAUUACUUGCUGCCGAGUUUAUUGAAGAGAUGAUUCCUUUAAAACUAUAGUUUAGACAAGUGACAAUGGCACGCCUCAUGCUACAAGUCUGCUCUUGUUUAUGACUUGUCCAAACCAUAGUCCUAAAGAUAUACUCUCUUCAACUCCAUACAUUUGUUACUGAAACAGAAUAAUGCAUUGAUGUUAUUUAUGUAGUUUUUAUACUUGUACUACACUUUAGUACUGGUUAUUGGAC